rnacentral:rRNA from 1 species
GACGAACGCUGGCGGCGUGCUUAACACAUGCAAGUCGAGCGGUAAGGCCCUUUCGGGGGUACACGAGCGGCGAACGGGUGAGUAACACGUGGGUGACCUGCCUUUAGCUCUGGGAUAAGCCUGGGAAACUGGGUCUAAUACCGGAUAUGACUCCGCGGUGCAUGCUGUGGGGUGGAAAGCCUUGUGCGGCUGGAGAUGGGCCCGCGGCCUAUCAGCUUGUUGGUGGGGUGAUGGCCUACCAAGGCGACGACGGGUAGCCGGCCUGAGAGGGCGACCGGCCACACUGGGACUGAGACACGGCCCGGACUCCUACGGGAGGCAGCAGUGGGGAAUCUUGCGCAAUGGGCGAAAGCCUGACGCAGCGACGCCGCGUGA